rnacentral:snRNA from 1 species
GUGCUCACUACCAGAGCACAUAUACUAAAACUGGAAUGACAGAUUAGAAUAGCCCCUGCCCAAUAACACCCUGAUUCAUGACAUGUAGCAUACUUUU